UUUCCCCUAUAUUUCCUUCUAUUAGUUUUGUAGUUUGGGGUCUUACAUUUGGUCUUUGAUCCAUUUUGAGUUGAUUUUUGUAUAGGAUGAGAGACAGGAGCCUACAUUCAUUCA